rnacentral:rRNA from 1 species
UACGAAGGGGGCUAGCGUUGCUCGGAAUCGCUGGGCGUAAAGCGCACGUAGGCGGCUUUUUAAGUCAGGGGUGAAAUCCUGGAGCUCAACUCCAGAACUGCCUUUGAUACUGGGAAGCUUGAGUCCGGAAGAGGUGAGUGGAACUCCGAGUGUAGAGGUGAAAUUCGUAGAUAUUCGGAAGAACACCAGUGGCGAAGGCGGCUCACUGGUCCGGUACUGACGCUGAGGUGCGAAAAGCGUGGGGAGCAAACAGG